rnacentral:rRNA from 1 species
CUACGGGGCGCUGCAGUGAGGAAUAUUGCACAAUGGAGGAAACUCUGAUGCAGCAACGCCGCGUGGAGGAUGACGCAUUUCGGUGUGUAAACUCCUUUUAUGAGUCAAGAAAAUGACGGUAGCUCAUGAAUAAGCACCGGCUAACUCCGUGCCAGCAGCCGCGGUAAUACGGAGGGUGCAAGCGUUACUCGGAAUCACUGGGCGUAAAGGACGCGUAGGCGGGAUAUCAAGUCAGGUGUGAAAUCCUACAGCUUAACUGUAGAACUGCACUUGAAACUGGUAACCUAGAGUAUGGGAGGGGGAGAUGGAAUUAGUGGUGUAGGGGUAAAAUCCGUAGAUAUCACUAGGAAUACCUAAAGCGAAGGCGAUCUCCUGGAACAUAACUGACGCUAAGGCGUGAAAGCGUGGGGAGCAAACAGGAUUAGAUACCCCCGUAGUC